UCUAAUGAACUACAAGCUGAAAGUGUCAAACAAAUAUUGUGACAUCUAUGCUGACCUAACAACACAUACACGACCAGAACUUUACAUAUUCUGUGUGACAGUAGUGCGGCAUCGUCCUUUUCAUUCAUCAUCCUUUUUUGUUAGCCAUGUGUUAAUUGUCCUACUUAAUUUCUAACUCAUCAUAUUGCUCUUGAUUUUUAGUCAUGCUUCGAGCUUUGGUCUGUGCAUCUACAUGAAGAAAGCAUGUCUUGGCUAAAGGUAAAAUUGAAACUUGUAGGUGAUCAAAUCAUAUGCUUUGGUCUGUAUAAGAGUGUAAAUUAAGGAUUACAAAUUUCUUGGCACUAGAUUUUGACCUUGCCUGAAGUUCAGAUUUUUUGAAGUUGAUAUAUAUCUUCUGUAGAUCUUUUAUUUUUCCUUUGGGUUUGGGGCCAGUAUAUACAGAUUGAAAGUAUCAUUUUUUUAGAAAAAUAAGAUUUUGUUCUUCUAUUUCACCAUAAUUCAUGUUUACAUAGUUUUGAGAGGCACUUAACUUAAGUUUCCUCUUCAACUGACUAAUUGUCAAGAAAGGAGAUCAAAAGAAUAUUUCGGCGUGUAAGGAGACACAACGCUUGCAUGCGAGGGAAGCUGCAACAGGGAUGAUCAGUUUGUCGCUACAUGAAUGGAGACCACAUGCCAUGAUGUUUGACACACAAUUCUUAAUUAGAGAAAAAAUUAAAUUACUUGUUUUUAUUCCGUGCAAGGUAUGCAUGCAUGCCACACACAUAUAUCAGUUGUUGCAAGUUGAGAUCAUCCGCCAACUAUCUUAAAAGUCAAUCUGCCAACUUAAUUAAUCAAUCAUGUCGAAUUGUUGCCAACUUAAUUAAUCAAUCAUGUCGAUUUUUAGACGCGGUGACUAGAAGAUGCAAAAUUCCUGUUUAGUUGAUUUUUAGUAGAAGGUUUUGUGCCAAUGUAGAACAAAAUCUGAUUUGAUUGGUGUUAUAUAUUGAUAGGACUAAUUAAGCUGCGUGCAUGCUGAAUGCCCUUCCUGCUGUUUCCUACUGUUGAGAUUACGCUUUUGGCUCAAGGGGCAUCACAGGUGGUGCACGCCUCCUCCCCUUCAUAGUGGUGGCGGAUCGGCACGAACUUGUGGGGAUGGAACUAGGACGGAGAGUGGGGCGCUUGGCGGUCCGUGGGGAAAUACGGUGUGAAGAAGAGAGGGCGCCAUGGUGAAGGAGAGGUGGACAUCAUCCGGUUUUAAAGGAGGGGGCUCUAAUGAGAAAUGUCCCACUACAGCGGGAAACCUAGCAGGAAUGGAAGGGUCUGGCAAGAAAAGGAAAGGGUUCAUCUUGGGUAGGGCUUUUGUGUUGGGCCCUCUCUCCUUCGUGAUGGAUAGUCUGGAUAACCACAUUCUACACCACACAUAUGGUCUGGGUUUGGGUGAGCCGUACUAUCCGCAUUUUGGGGAGCAUGCUGGACGCCCGUUUGAUGUCCGAACACGCCCGAAGGCAUUUAGGGAAUAUAAAGGGAAGAAGGCAUAGCCCAUGUGUAGUUUGGAGGCAAACAAAGCAUCAUUCAAUACAGUCACUAAAUGAGGAUGUGGUGGAACAAAUGUUUCCUGGCUGAGUCCUUUCUCUUCUUUAAUCUUUAAUUCUUUUUUCUUAUUAUUUUGUACUAACGUGAGGCGCCUUAUGAAUCACCAUUAGUUGUUGGUGUUCCAAAUAUAUUAGAGAGCAACACAACGACUGAAAAGCCAGACAUAGUCAAAGGGCAGUGAAUUGAAAGAUGAAUGAUGUAGGGAUGUAGAAGGUGACCGAUAACAACUUGAUGGAAAGGUCUGCUAGAGGGGUGAAUGGUGUUUGUUGAAAAGAGAAAGGAAGAUGCUUGUGUUUGUUGUCCCAUGGAAUAUCACACACAAUAUGCGCAUUCAUGGACAAAAACUCAAGCAAUAUUUACAUUCGUUUGUUG
rnacentral:lncRNA from 1 species